UACGUAGGGUCCGAGCGUUUGUCCGGAAUUACUGGGCGUAAAGAGCUCGUAGGUGGUUUGUCGCGUUGUUCGUGAAAACUCACAGCUCAACUGUGGGCGUGCGGGCGAUACGGGCAGACUGAGUACUGCAGGGGAGACUGGAAUUCCUGGUGUAGCGGUGGAAUGCGCAGAUAUCAGGAGGAACACCGGUGGCGAAGGCGGGUCUCUGGGCCUACUGAACGCUGAGGAGCGAAAGCGUGGGGAGCAAACAGG
rnacentral:rRNA from 1 species